rnacentral:misc_RNA from 1 species
UUGUGGAGGAGGACGCCGAAGGUGGGGCUAAUGACUGGGGUGAAGUCGUAACAAGGUAGCCGUACCGGAAGGUGCGGCUGGAUCACCUCCUAACAGGGAGACAACAAAAUGUUAAAUAUUAAUUUUGUCACCUUAGGUCGAUCGGUAUCUCACAUUCUUAAUUUAUUAAGAAUUUCACUUCCUAAGUUUUUUCUAGGUCACACCCAUUAUUUUUCCUGGGCCAUUAGCUCAGGUGGUUAGAGCGCACCCCUGAUAAGGGUGAGGUCCCUGGUUCAAGUCCAGGAUGGCCCAUAUCUCUAUGUUGGGGGUAUAGCUCAGUUGGUAGAGCGCCUGCUUUGCAAGCAGGAUGUCAGCGGUUCGAGUCCGCUUACCUCCACUGAUUACCACCUCUUACAUAAUCUUUGAGAAGGAAAUGUUUUGAGUAGUGAUCAAAUUCUGAACGAAUCUAGCUUCCUAAUGAAAGCAUUAAGAUGCUGGACUCAUUGAAUUAAUUUCAUUGUUUUCAGAGAACCUUGACAACUGCAUAGAUUAUUUUUAAAGACAAUAAGCAUCUUUAAUGAUGCAGACUUAUUAUUUGUGCGAAUGCAUUAAUAACAAUUCUAUUAAGCUGAUGCUUCAAUUUUGAAGUUAUUGGUCAAGCUACAA